UACGAAGGGGGCGAGCGUUGUUCGGAAUUACUGGGCGUAAAGGGCGCGCAGGCGGUCCUUCAAGUCAGAUGUGAAAUCCCCGGGCUCAACCUGGGAACUGCAUUUGAGACUGGAGGACUUGAGGACGGGAGAGGAGAGUGGAAUUCCCAGUGUAGAGGUGAAAUUCGUAGAUAUUGGGAAGAACACCGAUGGCGAAGGCAGCUCUCUGGACCGUUACUGACGCUGAGACGCGAAAGCGUGGGGAGCAAACAGG
rnacentral:rRNA from 1 species